rnacentral:rRNA from 1 species
UACAGAGGGUGCGAGCGUUAAUCGGAAUUACUGGGCGUAAAGCGUGCGUAGACGGUCAUGUAAGUCGGGUGUGAAAGCCCCGGGCUCAACCUGGGAAUUGCAUUCGAGACUGCAUGGCUAGGAUGCGGAAGAGGGAAGCGGAAUUUCCGGUGUAGCGGUGAAAUGCGUAGAUAUCGGAAGGAACACCAGUGGCGAAAGCGGCUUCCUGGUCCAGCAUCGACGUCAGGCACGAAAAGCGUGGGGGAGCAAACAGG